GGUGGAGCAUGUGGUUUAAUUCGAUGCAACGCGAAGAACCUUACCUACUCUUGACAUCCACAGAACUUAGCAGAGAUGCUUCGGUGCCUUCGGGAACUGUGAGACAGGUGCUGCAUGGCUGUCGUCAGCUCGUGUUGUGAAAUGUUGGGUUAAGUCCCGCAACGAGCGCAACCCUUAUCCUUUGUUGCCAGCACGUAAUGGUGGGAACUCAAGGGAGACUGCCGGUGACAAACCGGAGGAAGGUGGGGAUGACGUCAAGUCAUCAUGGCCCUUACGAGUAGGGCUACACACGUGCUACAAUGGCAGAUACAAAGUGAAGCGAACUCGCGAGAGCAAGCGGACCACAUAAAGUCUGUCGUAGUCCGGAUUGGAGUCUGCAACUCGACUCCA
rnacentral:rRNA from 1 species